GCGGGGAUGGAGCAACGGAUAGGCUCGGCAGUCUCAUAAGCUGCAAAUCAGCAAGUUCAAUUCUUGCCCCCGUU
rnacentral:tRNA from 1 species